CUUUGACCCAUCAGUUGUUCAGGAGCAUGUUGUUUAAUUUCCACAUAUUCGAGAAUUUUCCAAAAUUCCUCCUAUUAUUUAUUUCUAGUUCCAUACCAUUGUGGUCAGAAAAGAUAGUUAAUUUUUUUUUUUUUUUUGAGAUGGAAUCUUGCUCUGUUGCCUAGGCUGGAGUGCAGUGGUGCCAUCUCGGCUCAGUACAACCUCCGCCUCCCAGGUUCAAGCAAUUUUCCUGCCUCAGCCUCCUGAGUAGCUGGGACUACAGGUGUGUGCCACCACACCUGGCUAAUUUUUGCAUUUUUAGCAGGGGUGGGGUUUCACCAUGUUGGCUAGGCUGGUCUAGAACUCUGACCUCAAAUCAUCGGCCUGCCUUGGCCUCCCAAAGUGCUGGGAUUACAGGCAUGAGCCACUGUGCCUAGCAUGUAUUUUUAGUAAAAAUUGGGUUUCACCAUGUUGGCUAGGCUGGUCUUGAACUCCUGAACUCAAGCAAUCCACCUGCCUCUGCCUUCCAAAGUGCUGGGAUUACAGACAUGAGCCACCACACCUAGCCCACCUUACUACCCUAGGCCUUUUGAUUGAGGAAUUUAAAUCCUUUACAUUCAAGGUAAUUAUUGACAGGUAAAGACUUACUACUGCCAUUUUGCACAAAAAUUAGCCGGGUAUGGUGGCGCGUGCCUGUAAACCCAGCUACUUAGGAGGCUGAGGCAGGAGAAUCAUUUGAACCUGGGAGGUGGAGGUUGCAGUGAGCUGAGAUUGCGUCAUUGCACUCCAGCCUGGGUGACAGAGUGAGACUCCAUCUCAAAAAAUAAAAAAAUUAAAAAAAAUAAAUAAUAAAAUAUAUAACUCUCUUAUUUUAAAUAAAAACUUAAAAAUGGUUAAGCUUAGUGAGGAAGGAAUGUUGCAACAUGGCAUGAUACGCUGAAAGCUGGGCCUCUUGUGCCAAACAGUUAGCCAAGCUGUGAAUGCAAACGAAAAGUUUUUGAAGGAAAUUAAAAGUACAACUCUAGUGAACACACAAAGGUUUAAGGAAAGAAUCCAUCUCCAUAAUAUAAAAGUGCAAGGUGAAACAGUAAGUACCUAUGCAGAAACUGCAGCAAGUUAUCCAGAAGAUCCAGCUAUGAUCAUUGAUAAAGUUGACUAUACCAAACAACCGAUUUUCAAUAUAGAUGAAACAACCUUAUCUUAUCUGAAGAAGAAGAUGCCAUCUAGGACUUUUAUUGCUAGAGAGAAGUCAAUGCCUGGUUUCAAAGCUUCAAAAGAGAGCCUGACUCCCUUUAGGGGCGAAUGCAGCUGCUGACUUUAUGUUGAAGUCAAUGCUUAUUUACCAUUCUGAAAAUCCCGGGAUCCUUGAGAACUAUGCUAAAUCUACUGUGCCUGUGCUCUAUAAUGCUACAACAAAGCCUGGAUGACAGCACAUCUGUUUACAGCAUGAUUUACAAAAUAUUUUAGGCCCAGUGUUGAGACUUACUGCUCAGAAAACAAUGUUUCUUUCAAAAUAUCACUACUCAUUGACAAUGUAUCUGGUCACCCAAGAGCUCUGAUGGAGAUGUACAAGGAGAUUAAUGUUGUUUUCAUGCCUGCUUACACAACAUACAUUCUGAAGUCCAUGAAUCAAGGAGUCAUUCUGAUUUUCAAGUUUUAUUAUUAUUAUUUUUUGAGGUGGCAUCUCGCUCUGUCACCCAGGCUGGAGUGCAGUGGCGUGAUCUCGGCUCACUGCAACCUAUGCCUCCCAGAUUCAAGCAAUUAUUCUGCUUCAGUCUCCUGAGUAUCUGGGAUUAUAGGCAUGUACCACCACGCCCAGCUAAUUUUUGUAUUUUUAGUGGAGACAGGGUUUCACCAUAUUGGUCAGGCUGGUCUUGAACACCUGACCUCGUGAUCCACCUGCCUUGGCCUCCCAAAGUGCUGGGAUUACAGGCAUGAGCCACCGCGCCUGGCCUCAAGUUUUAUUAUUUAAGAAAAAGAUUUCGUAAGGUUAUAGCUGCUAUAGAUAGUGAUUCCUCUGUUGGAUCUGGGCAAAAUAAACACAAAACCUCUGGAAAGGAUUCAUCAUUUUAGAUGACGUUAAGAACACCCAUGAUUCAUGGGAGGAGGUCAAAAUAUCAACACUUACAAGUUAAGAAGUAGAGUCCAACCCUCCUGCAUGACUUUGAGGGAUUCAAAACCUUAGUGGAGGUAGUCACCACAGAUGUGGUGAAAAUAGUAAAAGAACUAGAAUUAGAUGUGACUGAAUUGCUGCAAUCACAGGAUAAAAUUUGGACAGAUGCAGAGUUGCUUCUUAUGGAUGAACAAAGAAAGUGGUUUCUUGAGAUGGAAUAUACUCCUGGUGAAGAUGCUGGGAAUAUCAUUGAAAGAAGUUUUACUCAGAGACAGAGUUUCACCAUAUUGGCCAGGCUGGUCUUGAACUCCUGACAUUGUGAUAGGCCUGCCUCGGCCUCCCAAAGUGCUGGGAUUACAGGCAUGAGCCACCGUGCCUGGCUGGUAUGUACAUUUUUAAAAGUCUUACUGCUAUUCUACACUUAAUAGAUUACAGUAUAGCGUAAACAUAACUUUUGCAUGUACUGGGAAGCCAAAUAAUUUGCAUGACUUGCCUUGCUGUGAUAUUUGCUUUAUUGUGGUGAUCUGGAACUGAACCCACAUUAUCUCUGAGGUAUGCCUGUACUCUUUAUAGAUCCUUAUAUAAUACUGAAUAUUUAAAAAUACUUAAAAUAUUUUAAAUUUUAAAAUUUAAAACUUUUUUUUACUCAUGAUCAAAAGAAUUCACGUUCAUUAUGGAGAACUGGAAAAUGCCUAAAGAACAAAAGAGAGGAAGAACUCUCAAUCUCACUACCCAAAAAAGUUGUUAACAUUUCGGUGUAUAUUUUUCAAAUAUAUUUAUAUAUAUUUUAAAAACCAAUCUCCAACUGUACAGAUAUUUUGGAAGUACAUUUAGCAAUUUGUAUUUUCAAAUUCAUGUUUUAUUUUAUUUAUUUUUUUUGAGACAUGAUCUUGCUCUCUUGCCCAGGCUGGAGUGCAGUGGUGCGAUCUCUGCUCACUGCAACCUCCGCCUCCUGGGUUCAAGCGAUUCUCUGCCUCAGUCUCUGGACUAUCUGGGGCUACAGGCCCACGCUACCACACCCAGCUAAUUUUUGUAUUUUUAGUAGACACGGUUUCUCUACGUUGCCUAGGCUGGUCUUGAACUCCUGGCCUCAAGUGAUCUGCCUGCCUCGGCCUCCCAAAGUACUGGAAUUACAGAACUAAUGAGAGACUGCAAGAGCCCUCCAGUGGCCAAGCUAAUUUCUGCAAAAAUACCAUCAUCAGAAUGAAAAAGGAAUUGUAUGCAGUUGUUAAAUCUUGACAGCGAAGAGAAGGGAUGGCUAGAAUUAUUUUAGCUGUUUAAAGGGCCAUAUGCUGUACUUGUAGGAACUAUGAUCUCAUAGGUUGAAUUAGACAGGAUAUCAUUUAAUGCAGUCUGAGACUCUUGGCAGAGAAGUGGAUGAAUAGAAUUGCUACUUGAAGAGAGAAAACACUCUGAGAGGAUUCAAGCCUAAAACUCCAGCUGAAUUUGAAUCUCCAGGUGGAAGUGAAUUGUGAAGGUGCCACUCUUCUCUGCUGGAAGUAUAUGCAUUGAGGCCAGCGUGUCUAGUCUGUCACAAUCCUGGGUCGUCGGGGGACUGUACCGAGCGCCCUUGGAGUGCUCGCAGCAGGGAAGAAGGAGCGAGCAGGGAGGAGCUGAGGAGGGUCGGAGCGGAAUGGACACCCAGAGACUGAGAUGAGAGAGGGGCUAUAAGAAGAGAAACCAGUCGCAGGAAAACAGAACUCUCG
rnacentral:lncRNA from 1 species